rnacentral:rRNA from 1 species
GUCGAGCGGACAGAUGGGAGCUUGCUCCCUGAUGUCAGCGGCGGACGGGUGAGUAACACGUGGGUAACCUGCCUGUAAGACUGGGAUAACUCCGGGAAACCGGGGCUAAUACCGGAUGCUUGAUUGAACCGCAUGGUUCAAUUAUAAAAGGUGGCUUUUAGCUACCACUUACAGAUGGACCCGCGGCGCAUUAGCUAGUUGGUGAGGUAACGGCUCACCAAGGCAACGAUGCGUAGCCGACCUGAGAGGGUGAUCGGCCACACUGGGACUGAGACACGGCCCAGACUCCUACGGGAGGCAGCAGUAGGGAAUCUUCCGCAAUGGACGAAAGUCUGACGGAGCAACGCCGCGUGAGUGAUGAAGGUUUUCGGAUCGUAAAACUCUGUUGUUAGGGAAGAACAAGUACCGUUCGAAUAGGGCGGUACCUUGACGGUACCUAACCAGAAAGCCACGGCUAACUACGUGCCAGCAGCCGCGGUAAUACGUAGGUGGCAAGCGUUGUCCGGAAUUAUUGGGCGUAAAGCGCGCGCAGGCGGUUUCUUAAGUCUGAUGUGAAAGCCCCCGGCUCAACCGGGGAGGGUCAUUGGAAACUGGGGAACUUGAGUGCAGAAGAGGAGAGUGGAAUUCCACGUGUAGCGGUGAAAUGCGUAGAGAUGUGGAGGAACACCAGUGGCGAAGGCGACUCUCUGGUCUGUAACUGACGCUGAGGCGCGAAAGCGUGGGGAGCGAACAGGAUUAGAUACCCUGGUAGUCCACGCCGUAAACGAUGAGUGCUAAGUGUUAGAGGGUUUCCGCCCUUUAGUGCUGCAGCAAACGCAUUAAGCACUCCGCCUGGGGAGUACGGUCGCAAGACUGAAACUCAAAGGAAUUGACGGGGGCCCGCAC